UGGCAUCUUUUGCAUUGGUAGGCGGAUUCUUCACCACUGCACCAUUGGAAAAGACCAGGGAAGUGAAGAAGUUCACUGUCAGUCCUUGGGCAAAGUCACGUCCUUGGUUCAAAGUCACUGCCUUGGGCAGGGAGAAAAAUGUCACCUGGGAGAAAUCAGGACCACAGAUCUACAUCAUACAAGGGCUGCACCACACAGUUUGCAGGAUCUUUGUUCCCUAACCAGGAAUUGAACCCAU